UACGUAGGGUCCGAGCGUUGUCCGGAAUUACUGGGCGUAAAGCGUGCGCAGGCGGCUUCUUAGGCAUGACGUGAAAGCCCCGGGCUCAACCCGGGAGGGUCGUCGUGAACCGGGGGCUUGAGGCCGGUGAGAGGUGGGUGGAACUCCUGGUGGAGUGGUGAAAUGCGUAGAGAUCAGGAAGAACGACCCGUGGCGAAGGCG
rnacentral:rRNA from 1 species